AGCGAACGCUGGCGGCAGGCUUAACACAUGCAAGUCGAGCGCCCCGCAAGGGGAGCGGCAGACGGGAGAGUAACACGUGGGAACAUACCUUUUGGUUCGGAACAACUGAGGGAAACUUCAGCUAAUACCGGAUAAGCCCUUACGGGGAAAGAUUUAUCGCCGAAGGAUUGGCCCGCGUCUGAUUAGCUAGUUGGUGAGGUAACGGCUCACCAAGGCGACGAUCAGUAGCUGGUCUGAGAGGAUGAUCAGCCUCACUGGGACUGAGACACGGCCCAGACUCCUACGGGAGGCAGCAGUGGGGAAUAUUGGACAAUGGGGGCAACCCUGAUCCAGCCAUGCCGCGUGAGUGAUGAAGGCCUUAGGGUUGUAAAGCUCUUUUGCCCGGGAAGAUAAUGACGGUACCGGGAGAAUAAGCCCCGGCUAACUUCGUG
rnacentral:rRNA from 1 species